AAUUUAUACAAAGACAGUGUAGACAGAGAAGGUUAGUGCUGAAACUCAGUGCUUAUGUUUGGCUUUCUUUAAGGAACUGUUCGAGACAGAUUAGUUUAAAAGAGGAUGGACAAUUUUAUGGGCCGCAUUGAAGAAGUUUGAGGGGGCAGAGAAAUGGAAAUAUUACGUGGACAGAGAGACCUCUGUAUUUUCCUGAUGGCAUCGUCCCCAUGAUGAAAUCCAGAUCAGGAAUAAAUGUUAUUUCAAAUCACACAAAGAGAUUCAUGGCAAGGAAAAUACUUAUGGUCAAGAUUGUUUUUCACCUGAAAAAAGAAGAGCACUUAAGAAAACACAAAGUACAGUAAUGGAAGUACUUUAUCACUUAAGAACAUAGAGCAAGGAGAGUUAUCCAUGUUACUUGUGUUGGAUAAUAAGAGAGAGCGUAUCAUUCUCUUUGGCUACUAUAUGGGUUCUUCUUAAUUCCACCCUGCGUCAACAUUUUCUUCCAUGAUUUCAACUACUAAUAGGGGAGAAAAAAAAGAAUAGAGGGGAAAGGAAAUUGUUCCCUGAAUAGCUUCAAGGGUCAGAAAGUGUUCAAUAUUACAGGUACUUCCUGCUAAUUGGGUAAAUUGAGUUCCUUGGGG
rnacentral:lncRNA from 1 species